GCUCUCCUUGGGAUCAUCCGAUAAAAAGUUGGAACGAUACAGAGAAGAGUAGCAUGGCCCUUGCGCAAGGAUGACACGCACAAAUCGAGAAUUGUACCAAGUUUUU
rnacentral:snRNA from 1 species